CGUUCGUUAGUUUAGAUUCGUCCGCCAAAGUGAUCGCAAGUGAAAACGCAACAUUUUCACAAUCGCGGCCGAACCGGGUUUUGACUACUCAGCAGCGAAGAAGCGAGGAAAAGGCGUGUGGGAAAAUCUUACGAGAGAUUUGUGUGAGAGAUUUGUCAAGUCGGGGUUUGCUUUCGGAAGAGAUUUCCCAUCUCGAUAGAUUUUGGAGGUGCUCAUUUUCGUGACAUUCUGUCGUGUAAUAAUUUGAUCUCAGUCGAUAGUGAACCACGGCGAGUGUGAGAGGCUUUGUCUUAUUUUCCCGCAAGAAGUAGUAUUCUGUCCGACGAUCGUCUGUCAACAGGGGGGAAUGCCUUGUCGCGUUUGAACGAAGGGAAAAGUUUUGCACGCGCGAAGGGGUGUGACAAGAUAGGUUUGUGCGUAAGUGUGUGUGUGUUUGUGUGACGGUUGAGGAUCGCAGUGAUCCACGGUGCUUUACGUGAGCGCACUUUCGUGAUUCAACGCCCACUCAAACUCUACCGGUACCUCCCGGCCGUUCUGACAUCUUCUUCAUCAGUUGGAGGGUUGCGCCGAAGGCCGACGACCAAUUUCGUCAUUACAUAAGUUUUUAUGACAGAGUACUCAUCCUUUGAACAGCGCGAGGUAACAACAAUUCAUCCAAACUAUUGCCGAACCGAGCCGAGAUCCGAUGCGAGCAAACUUUCUAACCAGAUGUGUUAAAAUGUGACCAAAUGAACCAAGCUAGAGAGCAAUGUUUGUGCAAAAGUGAAAAUUAACCGAAGCAAGAAAUACCGAGAUAAAAUUAGUUAAUUUCAAAGUGUUCUAAUGAAAGAGAGAGAAAAAAAAGAAAAAUAUUUCUACCGUUGCAACAAAGUGAAGUAAAGUAAAGCUGGUGGCCACCGCAGACACAGGAAAAGUCACUCUAGAGUAACCGUGAAAUGAGUCAGUGAGCGGGGAUAGAGUGAGGGUAGCCUCGAAACAGUAUCGCGAAGAAUACACAAAUUAUAAAUCUUGCAUGUUGAAUAAUCGUAAGUCGGACACACGUCUGUCUAUGUGGGAAAAAUCGGGGGAAGACAUAUCGCGAGCGACCAGACUCAUUUCAAGUGGAUCACCGUGUCUCAGCCGCUGCGAGUGGCUGGCGCUGGGUGUACGGGAACACCCAUCGCCAACGCCAGCAUCGCUGCGCCGCCGUCAUUAGAAUCAUCUCCCCCGAUGGUUUGAGAACACCGCCGCGAGCAUUAGUUACCGCUAGGUGCGCGCGUGGAUGAAAAAUUUACGACUUUGGAAAACUGCCGCCCAGCCGACCGACGGUUUCACAGAUUGACCUAAACGAAGACAAAUACUUCUCGAAUUGGAGCCAAAUGUAUAGCAUCAAAUGAUCCGGAAUAAUAUCUUAUGAAAUAUUUUAGCUGUCCAAUCAGCCAAGUGAUGAGUGAAAACAGUAGAUUGAAGUAUGUAGCCACGCUGGAAAAGCGUGAAAGUAAUUCGAGAAAAUUUCCAUCUCGACAUUAGUGUGCAAAAAAAAAAAUAAUAACAUAGAAUGAAAUGAGAAUAAAGCGCUAGUCGACAAAGUGAUUAGAAUCUGUUCAGCUUGGCUAUUCGUUUCGUUAGAAGUGUUCUAUUACUAGGUUAAACCAUGAAGAAAAUAAUUGACAUACGUCAGUGUAGGUCAACAAAGAAGUUUAAAUUAAUAUUGAAAUUUCGAGCCAACCGUUACCGAGAGGCGCCUUAAAAAGGGGUUCGAAGCUCGUGCAAACCAUAUAUUCUAGAUUGUAACUACUGGGGAUUCUCCAGGGCCCCAGCUCACCACACAGCGUGGUGUAUUCUUCCUUGAGAUUUAGUGGAAGAGUUGAAAGAGGUUCGGCCCCUUCCAUCACAGGCGGUUGAUGCUUAGGACCUAGGCAGCAACCCCAGUACACGAACGUCGGACGCCAUGUACUUGCGCAAAUGGAAUCCCAUUAAAUAUUUGAUGUUCUCAUGGCUAGCGAUUCUCGUGUGGAUAUUCUGUCGGUGUGAAAGUGCAGCCACGAUGCACUUGGCACCAUCCUCGUCGUAUGCUAGUAGCAUAAAUAGUAUUGGUAGUUUUAGUAAUGGUAGGAGAAAUAGUAUAUUGGAGCUGUUUGCCAAUGAAAAUUCUAACCAAGCAGCGGGUUCCACAAGUGAUACUAGUGAGUUAGUGGACUCUACGAGUCCUUACCAGCGGCGGCCAAGGCAGUGGCCAUUCACUCCAGAAUCGUCGACGCAGCGGAAGCACGCCACUCAAUACUUAACCAAAUCCAUUAGCAAAACUACCAGCACUGAUCGCCGGUUGCCCCUAGUUCAAGUGGACCGCCAAUUAAGCGUUCAUCAUCCAAUUAAUUACGCUAAUCGUGCGCUUGUAGCAAACGCAAAUAAACAGCUGAUAAAUCCCACGUACUCGAGAGAACAAAAGCAGUCCCAACUGCCAAUUCUGCCAGCUAGCCUAAGUCAAUUCACUGCAAACCAAGAUAGUCACAAUAACGUUAACAGUAGCAGUAGUAGUAUUAUUAGUACCAAAAGUAAUAGCAGCAAUAGCAGUGCUAGUAUUAGCGUUGAAAACGCCGCCCAAGCAGAGGAACAUUUGCAACGCCAAUGGAAGCUUCGUAUGAGCCAAAAACGAGCGCGCCGACUUGCUCAUCGGCUGCGCCUCGCAGCAUCACCCGAAGAAGCAGCAACUAAUCGCAACCGGCGGGACUCGGCCCGUCCUUCCGCGCCCACAUCAGUUGCCGCCCAAAGUAACAACCAAAUUCCCCGACGAACCGGGGGGCCCGGUAGUAUUGGACCGGGCCGCCGGUACUGCUCGGCGCGGGAUCCUGCGACACUCGCCUUUGACGCUCCCGUUGUUUUCGAGGGCAAGGUCAAAUCAAUGAGCAGCGAUCGGCGGGCUAAUUUCUCCGUAACCUUCGAGAUUGUAACCAUUCACAAGAAGCACACCAAAUUCUACCUGCCCAACAAUGUGCGUUUGCAGUUCUCCUAUCGUAACUUUAGCGAGUGCGACAUCUACCGGGAGACCUAUCGCGAGCGGGGAAUCGUUCGGGAGGAGCUGGAACAGGGAAAGGUAUACUUUCUGUUUGUGAAGCAGAUCGACCUCGGCAAUUUCACCAUCCUCGGCCAACCGAUCCGGAAAACCAGACGUACCACCAGUGGGGUGCUGGAAGGGGUUAGCGAAACAUAUGGUAAACCACCAGUGAUCUAUUCCAUCACGUCGAACGUGACGCGACAGGAGGGGAAACGGGUGCGUCUGGUGUGCAAAGUUCGGGGGCAGCCGCCGCCCAAAGUGACGUGGUUCAAGGACAAACGUUCCAUCAACCGGAACGUGACGAAAUACGCACAAGUGCACCUAAAAAAACGAUCCGAGCUCAUCAUUCAUUCGGUGAUUCCCAGCGAUGCUGGAGAAUACGAGUGCCGAGCUAAAAAUAAAUACGCCAAGAUUUCCAACUCGACGCAUGUUCGAAUAGCGGCCAAACAUACGAACAGCAAGCAGCCAAAAUCGACACAUUCGACGGAACCUCCGUACAAUCCACGACCCUGCCGAGGACCGGGGGCAGAGCAUUUCUGCCUGAAUGGUGGCACCUGUAUUCACUUCGAGGAUCUCCAAGAGUGGGCAUGUGCCCCAAGGGUUUCUCCGGGAACAAGUGCGAAAACAAAGACAUCGAUUACCACCCAACGACAUCCAGCAAGCACCAGGACUGCUCGUACGGCUACGGAUAUGGAGGUUACUAUUGCUAAAAUCGGCUUUAUAACACCAAUUGUUGAAUUAACAUAUUAUAGACGACAAAGAAUACCUCCCAUGAAACCUCCCGUCGUUCCCCCAUUUCCUCAACAUGAACCCUUCUGGCGAACCGGAUGAUUGGUUCACCAAUCCAAACGACGAAAGUAUUUCUUGGCCACUUGUGGGCGACUGUGGACAGAAUUGACCACACACUGGCUCUCGUUGAAAAGAAAAUAUCGAAAUAUCGAAACCGAUUUCUGCACUUCGCUUGACUUCCUUUUUCCUAUUUCUAGAAAGCAAGAUGCCAAAAAUUAGUUAUAAUGAGCUUCAUUUCACUGGAUAUAGGGAGAAAAGUAUCUAAUAGCAUCCUUUUCUAAUUGUAAAUAAUGGAGAACGAAAUCAUGUUUUCUUGUAUAAUAACGUGAAAAAAGAAGAAUGUUCUUUUUAUAUAAUUACGAAUUUAUAGUACAAAUUUGUGUAUAAUGUGUAAAAAAUAUUAUUUAUAUUGAUUAAUGAUAAACGUUAAUUUAUAAGCCAAAUAUUUAUAACUCGAAGAAAACAUUCCAAAUCUUGGAUAAAUCAAUUGAACUAACAGAACAAAUUUUGUUUUGAAUCAAACCGUUCGACCAACAAACCUGAUACUCAUUUUCGAGAUACGAUUUUUAUGUAGUUUUUAGGCCAACGAAUUCAAUCUCGAAGUGCGAACGCGACUAUCUUACUUUGACAAUUGGUGUUAUAUAUCUCGCUAUCGUACUAUUUGUGAUGGCUGGAACUCGAAGAACUGUCACACGAUUUGGGUACAUUCGAGCCGACAGCAGACGAUUCAUCGUUCCGUUUCCUUCCCAUUUCCAUUUCCCAACUUUUCCCAAUUGAUUCCCAAUCUGCGAACUAUAGAUGAACAACAAAUUCUGUGCCACGCUUGCCACUUUACCAAAGCAUACUUCUUAUUCGCGAUUUCUAUCAAUUGAUUGAGUCAAACGCAGGAUGGUGUUUGGUGCAAGCGCUUCUUUUCCCUGAUUUUUGAGGUGACAUAAUAACUGCCUGUUCUGCACUAAGCUGUCAUUUGAAAUCUUUGAACUUUAAUUUUGCACGUUUUGCGAAUCUACACGACUCAAACUAGUGAUGGUAUCUUCUAGUUCGACUGAAAGAUUUAUUUUUGUUCAACUGCCCGAGUAAACAGGUACCACGGAACAUAAUCAAAAGAGAGAGAGAUCAAUUCUGAUGGAGGAUUCAACACAAGUAGGUAAAACUAUCGGUUUUUGUCCACGAGCAGUGUAAGAUAUCUGAAUAAUUAAAUAAUUACGUUUGGUUUGGUUGUAAUUCCAAGCUGUAAGUGAGUGUGUAGACGAAAUUCAAAAAAACAUCACGAAAAAAGUUUUCAGACAUUGAACAACUUGUCCAGAAAUGUUACCGAUUUUUCCCUUUCGCGACGACUUGAAUAGACUGCUUAUUAAAGCAGUGAGAAAAUAACUUAGUGGACAGCAUCAUCAGCAGAAAAACUAGAUCUUGUAACAAAUUGUACAUAAAACUGAUAGGUGAUAACAUUGUGAGUAUUACUUUCCCUCUAUUUUAAACGGAUUUUAGAGGCGAGUUCGAGAAUUCCUACUCGUUUACCAAUCUGUAGAGAGAAAAAAGAAGAUCUUGAAGGAUGCCAUGACGUAAGGAUAGAAAGAGCAUAGGCAAAUUGUAAUAAAUUUUGUUACUCAGAAUAAAAGAAUUAAUUUAUUUCAGUUUAAAAACCGAACACAAAGCAAUGUAAUUUGCGCAGAAGUCAUCAUAGAAAAAAAUUGAGCAUCAUCGAAAAAUUACGCACAGAAAAUAAAUGAAGUAUGCUUAGGUCUUUUUGUUCUUUUCUUAUCGGUGCAUGCAAUACUUAUUUUUGUCAACCAGUUGCUAUAAAACCAUUUUGAAUUCCACUCUUUUAAAACGAUGAAACAGAUACAAUAAUCUAUAAUGGACACUGGAAAAAGUGAAAAAUUCGAAAUUCGAUCAAAUCGCGCACUUGCACAUAACACGUAUGCGAUCAUAUAUUUUAUAGCGUUCACCAAUACAAACACAUCUUGUUAUAAAUUGAAAUCAUAUUCGUCUCACGUGAAAAUUGGCAGACAAGACUGGUCUUAUAGAAAUUGGACAGAGUGUACAUGGUUGACUACAUUUAAAUGGAACACUUUUAUAACAUGAUAGUUGAUUGAAGUUCUUUCUUGAAAGAUUUUCUAUCAGCAUCUAUGUUUAUCAUCAAUUUAACAAUAUGGAAAUUUGAUAGUGCAAUUUAUACUUGUGAACAAAAUUGGAUGCUGACUUCUCUCGUCGAUCGUAGUUAGUAAUUUUGUUUGUUUUCCUCCUCAAUUUCUUACAUCAUCUCAAAGUAGUUAAGGAGGGACCCCGGUCUGGAAAAUCGAAAAAAAUGAUUUUUUUGAUUUUUGCAUUCUUGGGAAGCUUAUGCCCUCAGAAAUGUUGUCCUAAAAGAAAUCUUCGAUAUUUUUUUUCCUUGGAAAGUUACAGUCAAAAGAAUGAAGUCACAUCAAGGGAUAUAGUAUUGCUGUACGAAUUUUAACACGCGUUUUUCUCGAAACCAUGUCAUUUCAACUGGUGGUAUCGAUAUCUCAGAAUCUACUCGACCGAUUUAGCUGUAAUUUUUUAUCAGCAUGUAAAAAUGGAUUAUCUAAGGCGUUACAUAGCGGUUUUUUGAUAUCCCUUUUUUCGAUUUUUUGAAAUCGCUAUUUAGAGAUUUUUCAUAGAAAAAAUCUCUAUGUAAAGCUUUAGGUAUUUUCCUAAAGUUUCAUAGUAUUCAUUGGAAUUUGUUCUACGACACCCCGUUGCUUCAGAACCGAUACCACCAGCAAGGUAACGAUUUUCAGACAGCAUCUACGUAUCCAGCUGUCAACAGCGUCACAAUCAUUAUUCGCAAACUCAAAAAAUGGAAAAUACAUCUUCGAAUAUACCUUAAACAAUCACCAAAAUACACGAAACUUCAUUUUAAUCGUAACAUCCGAAAAAAAUUCACGAAAAUUAAUUAUAUUCUGGUUUUUCAGGGGUCUCCCCUUAAAAGACUUUUCUAUACAAAAUAUCACCAUAACUAAUUUUAUUUACUUACUUUUUGCUGCUGCGCUCCACGCUGAGAGCAUAGUGAAUUCGUUAAAACUUCCAUCUUGGGCGAUCCGCAGCUCUCGUCUCGACCCGUGUCCAGGUCGAAUUUGGGUCGACUCCUUUCAUCUCGUUUGUGAGGCUCCGUCACCAGGAACCUCUGGGUCUGCUACUGCUGCGAUGUCCUUGCGGGUUCCAGUGCCACUUUUGCGUGAUGUGUGGACGACCCACCUCCACUUACGCUCCUGGAUCUCUGUCAAAAUUGACAUCUGAUGGCAACGACGAUGGAGCUCGUCAUUCGAGAUCCAGCCGUCUGGCUAUCAGACCCGAAUUAAGUACCUCAGGCAUCGGUUCUCGAAGGCCUGAAGCUUCCGCGCGUUCUCUGCUAACACGUCCCACGUCUCACAUGCGUAAAGCAGCACAAAUUCUACGCUGGAAUUAAAAAUCCGGAUUUUGAUGUAGAGACUGAUCUGAUUUGACCUCCAUGUCUUCCUCAGACUCGCAAAGGCAGUCCUCGCCUUCUCGAUCAGCGCGCAUACAUCGAUGUUCGAUGUUCGUACCAUCAUCUGACGCAAUCUGGCUAUCAAGAUGUUGGAAACUCCCGACCCUCUCCACUGAUUGUCCAGCUAACUGUGGACCUGGAAAGCGUGACCGUGUUGACAUCUGAAGCUUUCGUCUUGCUGACAUUAUUUUUUUGGCCAGCCGCGGAAGAGCAUGCGACCAGGUCGCCAAGCUUAAAUUUAUUAUUUCGACGGUAUUUUGAACAAAACUUAGCAAGCAUAGAGAGAGGGAGAGAGAGAGAGCUUACAACAUACUUUCAUUUCCCUCUGAGCUCGUUUGUUGUUGAGCAUCCUAUCCAAGGUCUCGAUAAAAUUCCAAAAUUUUGGUUACCAACAGUUAUGCAUGUAAUCCAGACCAUUGACUUACUAAACAAGGCUUGAGGCCGAGGUCGAUAUCAUUGACAACAUCAAUUGUUGAAAUAUAGGUAUUUUGGGUAUUUUGGACGAGUUCAUCCUGAACUUCCUUGCGUCUCAGGGAACUCCAGAGGUUAUCGUGGUUGAGGCGGUCGAAAUCUUUCUCAUAAUCGAUGAGCACCAGGUAAAAAGACUCCUGGAAUUCAUUGAUUUGCUCAAUGAUGAUGCGCAGCGUAGCAAUGUGGCCGUCACAGACCCUACCAACUCUAAAUCCCGCCUGCUGCCGUCGGUGCGUCGCAUCUAUCUUCUUCUUGACCCGGUUGAGGAUUACUUUGCACAGGACUUUGAGAACUACGCACAACAGCAUGAUGUCUCGCAAGUUGUCGCAUUCAGUCAGGUCCCCUUUCUUUGGAACCUUGAUAAGGAUGCCCUGCAUCCAGGCGACCGGAAAUGUUGCAGUUUCCCAGACAUUUACGACUAAAUGAUGCAUUAUUUUUGCUGAUAGUGCGGGGUCAGCUUCGAGCAUCUCGGCUGAUAUACGAUCGACCCUUGGAGCUCUAUGGGAUUUCGUACUUCUGAUUGCUGCUGCUUCUCGCAAUGACGGCGCCUCUGUGUUGACGCGGGAAAUGCGUCUCACAGAAGUCGGCUCACGCUGGGGUGUUGGUGCCUGGUUGCUCACGGGCACUUGGAGCAGCUGCACGAAGUGGUCGAACCAGCGUUUCAGCUGAUCAAUGGGGUCGAUUAUCAACUGACCAAUCGCGUCUUUCGCAGGCAUCUUAGUGCUUAUCCUUCUUCCAUUCAGGCGUCGUGAAACAUCGUAGAGGAGAUGAAGGUUGCCGGUUGCAGCGGCUCUCUCCCCCUCGUUAGCAAGAGAGUCAGCCCACGCUCGCUUGUCGCGUAGACCCGAGUGCUUUACUUCCAGGUCGAGGGCACGAUACCGACGACGGGCUUUUUCUUUUCCUGACCUGGUUCUUCGUCGCUCCAUCGCGACGUUGGGGUUCCUUCUAGCCUCUUUCCCCUUCCAUGUGUCCUCCGAGACACAUUCGUUCCUCCGGGUGCACAGUUCACCCAGGUUGAUUCUCUCUAGUUGCGAUAAAUCCGUUCUUGACGGCGGUCCACUGGUCCUCAACGCUGCCACCAACAGGAACAGCCUCGGCUCGGGUCCCAAGUUCAUCCACAAAGGACCAUUUCACGUUAGGAUCUUUUAGUCGACGUGUGUUAAAUCGACGACCGAUCUUUGAUGGUGGUCGGAAGCGAUGUCGGCACUGCGUUUAUUCCGCACGUCAAGCAGGCUCCCUCUAAACAUUCGACUGAUGCAGAUGUGGUCAAUUUGGUUCUCAGUGUAACCAUUAUUUGAUACCUAUGUAACUUUGUGUACUGAUCGAUGGGGAAAGAGCGUGCCCCCAAUCAUGAUAUAUCGUUGUUGCCACCAAACAGUUCGCAAGCAGUUCGCCGUUUUUACUCAUCUCGUCCACAUAAAGCCUGUCCACGUUAAAUUUCGGACACCAAGAUGAUACCAGUAAAACAAAAAUUCACGUAAUAAAACAAAAUGGAUUGUUUAUUUCAGUAAAAUAGUCUAUAUUUGAAACAAGGAAAGCUUACUUCGAUGUUAAUUACGUUGUCUGUAAAAUCCACGAACUUUCUUGGAAACAUCUGCCAUUAGGUUCCGUACAGUAUCCUCAGAUAUGCUGGCGGCGGCGCUUUUCCAUCUCCUCUUGAAAUCAUUAAUGCAAUUCGCUUUCUUCUUAGUUUCGAAUAGUUUUCGCUUAAUCAGAGCCUAGUACUUUUCCGCUGAGUGAAGUUCUGGACAGUUCGGUGGAUUUGCUGUUUUUGGCACAUAUUUGACCUCAUGUGCAUUAUACCAUUCCAGGAUGCAUAGUGACAAGAGGCCAAAUCUGGCUGAAACAACGCUGGAGAGUUGUGGCUUCUUAUGAAUGGUAGCAACUGCUUCUGGAGACAUUCCUUCUCGUAGACAUCUUUGUUGAUAGUGCCGGUAGAGACGAAAGAUUUGGAUUUUCGGCUACAACUGCAUAUGGCCUGUCAAACCAAGUACUUUAUGGGGAAUUUAGACGGCUUCUUGGUCCGGAAACACUCGGCUACGGUAUUCCUUCGCAUUGCAGUAUAAAAAGUGAGACCCGGAAGCUGUUUGAAGUCUUCGAGAACAUAAGUUUCAUCGUCCAUUAUGGUGCAUGAACAUUUUUGCAAAAACUGGGUGUAGAGCACCUUAGCACGGCUUUUUGCAGUGACAUUUUGCUUAUCAUCACGAUUGGGCACCUUUUUCACUUUGUACGCCUUCAGUCCAUGCCUCUGCUUAACUUUUUGUACAUAUGAUUUUGAUUUUCCAACCUUUCGAGCCACAUUUCUAACUGAAAGGUUGGGAUGUUUCUCAAUAAUGAGAACCACCUUUCGGUCCAUCUGUCGGGAGCAUACUUUUCGAUUUGUUCCGCUUCCAACCUUCCGAUCCACAGUUAAGCGCUGGUCAAACGAUUUGCACACACUAAACACGGUACUCUUCGGCAGUGUUAGCUUUUUGGCGAGAUCGCGUACCGACAGUGUGGAUUUUGCUGCCGUUCGCGCAAAAUGCGUUUGCGUACUUCCCCUUGAUUCGACGCCAUUUUACCAAACUGAAGAAGAAUGUAAACAUGUUGGACAUCGAAAUAAAGAGGAAGGUUUCAGCUGUCAUGUAAGUGAAAUAUUUCAUAAACUACACUGAAAGAAAAGUGUCCGAAAUUUAACGUGAACAGGCUUUAGUCCAUGUUGUCGAAUCCCAUCCAUCAGGAUCUUGAUGCCACCUUUCGGAAUCUUGUCCACGGCGGCAAUUAGCUGGUUGUAGUAGCUCUCCUUCUCCUGUGGCUCGGCAGCGUUGGUUGGCGCGUAACUCUGAAUUAUUGUUAGGUUUCGCACCCGUGUUCUGAAUCUGGCUACGAUCACCCUGAUGCUUAUAGGCUCCCACUUCAAGAGUGCUGCGUGGGUUCGCACGAUGAGCAGGAAGCAAACUCCACAGUAGUGUGCAUUGUUGUCACCACGUAUACCAGAGAACAAUAGUAUCUGUCCCGAAGGUAGCCGGUGCUCUCCAAAGUUCAGUCAACGGACUUCACUCAGCCCCAGGAUCUCGAGCUUCAUGCGCCUCGCCUCGCUAACCAGUUGAGCCAACUUAUCCUGCUGCGCCAGGAUCAUUAUAUGUUCCAAUUCGUGUGCGUUGUUUCAUGCUAAAAGUAUUUGCCGUUAAAUCAGUCCAUAUUCUUCUAACUUGGGUUUCCGUAAUAGAUUGUUGAUUUUGGGUGCAGUGGGUUGUUAGUCCGAGGACCCUAUCUCAACCUCGAUUCUCUUGAAUUUAUCGGAUAAAAAACAAAUUCGUAGGACAAUUUUGUACGCGUAUCAAGUUCAAUUUACAUAUAUUGAAUCAAUUAUUAAAAGCUCUUUGGUAGAAGUUUCAGCGCUUAAGCUCCUCUUCAUUCAAAAGAGGUUGUACAGUCGUAUCUGGCACCUUAUUUCGUUUUUUUUUCCCAUUUUCUUUGCAUAUCUUUCGCAUCUGUUGCUUGCAUCUGUUGGUCUUUCCGAGUUCCCCCUUCAUCAUGCCCCAAAUAGGGUCCGACCGGACGUUAUUCGGGACAGUUUGGUGGAUUCAAGUCUAGAGAGAUGAAAUGCAACGAAUAAGUAUCAUACAAAUCCGGAGUAUUUUCAUUUGGUAAAAGACAAGUUUCUGGGGGGCUCUCAGUUUUACAAAUUUAACUGUUGUGGCGGACAUUUCGCUUGCCACAGAUGCAAAAAGCCGGCCAAAUAAGAUAUUUCAUUUUGACAUUUUGACAUCUUGAAAAAAUUACUUCAAGACACCUCCAACUUAUCUUUUCCGAGGCGAAAUUCCUUUGCUGGUAUUUUUGGAAGCCAGCCACGACGUAUUUUUCAGCGCGGACUUUAGCAGACGGUCAUCGCGGUUUGAGGUUUGUUGCACAUUAUAAGUGGUGGCAACUAAAAUUAUAGAAUUUCUUUCUCAAGCUGUCAAAAAAAAGACGAACAUACUUAAAGAAGAUCUGAUUUACUGAAAUGUUCAUUGUUCAAAGAAAAAGUGAACAUUUGAAAACGGUCCGUGAUCGGCUGUUCGGCAAAGCUUCCGUCUGAUGUCGGAACGAGCGCGCUUAACGGCCUUCAUGUCAGCCUUGCGAAUACUUCUCUCGAUUCUAUCAAUCAGUUUUUUUUUUCAAUUCGUGGCUCUCCAGUUAUACACAGUUGUACAGCAAGGAGCCCAAAUCCCUUGUAGAAACGAAAUCAAAAUUUUCUUCGAACAUUCGCCAAACCAGAGGAGGGCUUGAACCAUGUCUUAGAAAUACUUCGCUCGGAAAUGACAAUGUAAAACAUCAUUUUCUGUUCAAACUUAUGAUUAAAUUUAUAUUUUAUGUUCGGAGAUGCAGUGAAACUAUCCAUAGAAUAGUAUCGAUCGGUUCCGGGAACGUACGUCUUCGAUAGACGGAAGUAACUUUUGUCGUUUAAAACAAAAUAUUUUUCGGAAUAUUUUUCCUAUCAACCAUUGAGAUUACAGUGUAUAAAUCUGCUUCUCAGUGUAUUCUGGAGCUCUUGUCUUCCUCCGGCACUUUAUUCUGACACUUUUCAAUGUUUUGUUCAUAAAGUUGUCAGGUCUCUGGUUGAUCGAAAAUAUCGAAAGAAAAAAAAUCGAUUUACGUGAGUUUUUCAAGUACAAACAUACGAUCAAAAAAGUUGGGAAUGGGAAUGGAAAAAAUCAAUCUUUCAAAUAUCGAACAAAUUUAUAAAUAAGAAUAUUCGGGACAGCAGGUAUUUUACAUGAAAAGGGAUUACCAAAAAUGUAAAAAAAAGGGUGUUUAUUCGUCGAACCUGUAUACGGAAGAGAAAACAAUCCACGAAUGCUUAGCCAAAAAAAUAGCAAAAAUGCUUAAUUGUAUUCAAGUGAAUACUUUUAAUUCAUCACAAGUUCUCCAUUGAUAAAACACGCACUUAAAAGACUAGCCUAAUCAAUUUUAAUAUUUGGCAAACCUGUACAAAUCCAUUCCUCGAGUAGUUCGCAAUUUUAAGAGUCAACUUGUCGCCUUCGGUACAUUUUGUUAUGGGUUAGUUGAAUCAUUCAUGUAUAUCUAAUUAGCACAAACAUCUCAUGCUAUCCCUCUUUCCAUCCAACUGGUACUUCUUCACAAAAUAAAUCCGAAAAUAAUCUGUUAACCUACGGAAUAGUAACGAACGCCGCUCAGCGAAGCAACGAUGCAAUUCUGCUGUUAUUCGCAGCUAAUAAUAUGAGUUUCACCCCAUCGCAAAAUCUAAUCUCCCAUCCAAAACUAUCCUAUAACUAGCAACAAGUAGUUAGCCACCUUAUUAAGAUUGUCAGUCACUCAAGUAACUGUUUAUCCCCAAAUCCGUCACACUCGGCCGGGCUCAUCCUGCUGGCGAUGACUUUCAAACUACAAUGCUUCCACAACGUGCCGUUCCUAUUUCUCCCCCUUUAAUUUCCUCAUUGAGGUCUCUAUUCAAACUUCGUUUCAACGUGUGUUACCCACCCUUCCUUUUUUGAGAUUUCAUUCUUCACGCCUUACUUUUGACACUUCCGUAAGUACCAACGCCUCCCGAAACGCCACACUCUCCUGCCUGUUCACGAUGGAACCGAAAAAGAACCCACAAAACCGGACGAUCGCAUUUUUGAAACCUCGACAUGGAAAAAUUGCGCGAAUGCACCGGCAUUUGUUUCUCCCUUCUUCGGAUGGAUGGGACCCAGGCUUACCCGAAACAACUCUGACAUGACGAGGCAAGGUAUUCCGGAGUGUGCCGACUUCCCGCUGAUGGACUCCCCGGUGGCAGGACCGACCGUGCCGCCACUGUAUGACUACGAAGACGAUGGCGACAUCUAAUCCACUCUUGUGAUAUCAAACCUUUAGUCAUUCGAAAGCGAAGCGAUAAAGAUAGCGAAAAACACAAACAAUGGGGCAAUGAUUAUUGCUGGGGCGAGAUAUGAUGAUGGGAAAAUAAACAAAAUACUACUCUCAAUUAUAUUCCAUUCGAUUUAAGUAAAAUCAUUGUGUACAAUAUAGUUCAAAUUACAGAACACAAAAUCAAAGUAAUAAAUGCAAAGUUGUUUUAAACUGAAUGUAGUAUUGUAGGCUUCGCUAGAUAUCAGCGCUCGUGACAUGUUGAAAAAUACCAAAGAUGUAUAUAUUAUUGUAGUAGUUGUAAUAAAUUAUUAAACUGGUGUAAAUUUAUUAUAAUAAACCAUACUGACAACAC